rnacentral:lncRNA from 1 species
AAAAAAUCCAGAUUUUCUCCUUAAUAAACGACCAAACCAAACCUGAAACAAGUGAAGUCUCACUGGAGAUGAACUGAAAUAAUUAUGACUGGGUUCGGAGCUGACCUGCUGGAAUGAAGCUCUGCGGGGAAGGACCUGGGUGUCCUGGUGGACAACAGUUCACCAUGAGUCACCAGUGUGCCCUUGUGGCCAAGAAGACCAAUGGUAUCCUGGGAUGCAUUAAAAAGAACAUGGCCAGCAGGUCAAGGGAGGUGAUCCUCCCACUCUACUCUACUCUAAAGAGGCCACAUCUGGAGUAUUGUGUCCAGUACUGGGCUUUCCAAUUCAAGAAAGACAGGGAACUACUGGAGAGAGUUCAGCAGAGGCUAACAAAGAUGAUGACGGGCCCAUAUCAUCUCCAAUGUGAGGAAAGGCUGAGUAACCUGGGACUGUGCAGCCAGAAGGAGACUGAAAUGGGAUCUUGUCAGUGUUUGCAAACAUCUAAUGGACAGGAACCAGGUGGAUGGGACCAGGCUCUUUUCAAAGAUGUCCAGUGACAGAACAACGGGUAACGAGCACGAACUGGAACACAGGAUGUUGCAUAUGAUCAUAAUAAAUACUUCUUUACUUUGAGGAUGGCAGAGCAAUGGAACAGGAUGCCAUGAGAGGGUAUGGAGUCUUCUCCGGAGAUAUUCAAAACCUUCAUAAAUGCUUUCCUGUGUACCUAGUGUAGGGAAUUUGCUAUAGCAGUGGGCUGGACUGGGUGAUUUCCAGGUGUUCCAUCUAAUCUCUACAAUUCUGUGAUUCUGUGAUUUUUACAUCGUAAAAGGUACAGAUCUUGAGAGAAAUGUGGAAGACAAGUGGAUAGACAAGUUGACAGAAAUAUGAAGGAUUAAAUGCUGUUAGAAAGAAGGUAAUAUAAACAUUUAUAGG